UGCAGCUCGUUGGAUAUGGUCACCAUUGAAACAACCUACGUUCACUUCGCCUCCCAUAUUCGAGCCCAAGCAAAUCAUUACAUUAGCACGUCCUACCUCAGUUCACAAGUUUUCUAAACAAUCUGCAGCUGUCAGCAGCAACGAAGACACUAGGACUUGUAAUGAUGUUCAGGGACAUUGUAGGAACGAUUGUGAACCGAACGAGUACGUACGAGGACGAUUUAUGUGCGAUAAUCCAACAAACUGUUGUGUUGUAAAUCAGUGAACACGAAAAAAAUAGAUUUCUUUUAAAAAAUUUGACUAAUUUAUAUACAGUAUAUGACUUUG